CCAAGCUGGACUAAUCAGUUAAUUCUGGGACUAUCAAAGGUGCCAUCUUUGCAUUGGGUUGGAGAAAAGGAAGCCUGAAGCUACCAGGGACAUCUUGAGGAGAACCUGCCUGAGCAAGAGUCCAACUAAGAGAGAAAAAGUCAAGAUGCAGAGCGAGAGAAUGCAGAAGCUGACAAUAUCUGUGAUGUGAGCCCAUAGGUGUCUCCUUCCCCAAAGUUCGUUUGAGUUAGAUUUCUGUCACCAGAAGACCCUCUUUAGGACCACAUAGAAGUUCUUUCUCUCCAUGAUUUUUGUUGUUUCUAUUAAUCUUUAAAACCAAAGCAUUCGAGGACAGAGGAUAUAGCUCAGUGGUAAAGCACUUGCCUAGCAUGUGAAAGGCCUGGGUUUCAUCCCUCGCACUGAAAACAACAGCAAACAAACCAAAAAAAGGAAACCCAAGCAUUCAGUGUAUAGUCUAAGAAUCACAGUCAGCCUGUCCACCCUGGUCAUGGUAACACAUCUAUCUGUGGUCUGCUAUAGUAAUUUGCUGUCUGUAAUCUGCUUCAUGAAUUGGGAAGCUACGGUAGGCUUUCUGCAGCUGAUGAUCAUGGCCCCUGAAGCGUAGUGCAAACCAUCAUGCUGGUGCAAUGGGUUGUGUUUAAUUCUACAAAAUCUACUUGCUUUCUGGCCCAUGGAAGGGGAGAGUAGAUGAGGAAAGGUCACUCAAGACCAAGGUGGGACUACACGGGGCAGCCACCUCUCCACCUUUGUAGGUGGCCACAACCACUCAGAGGUGUGAACACUCCCUUUCUUUCAAGUAAGGAGCUCAAGAUGGGGGUCAAGGGGGUGAGAGAUGACUGUAUACUGGAGUGUCAGAGGAAGGACACCCACCCCAGGGGCAGACCUGAGCAUCUGGCAGGUGGGUGGCCAAAGACAGUAAGUCGUAGUUGAGUUGGGCCAGUGCCCCCCAGCUUCAAGUCCAUUGCCCCUCAGCACCCCUGCUCAGCUCUAGGUUGCCAAGGCUCCCUCUGUCUUGCAACCACUUCUGUACCUCUAUGCUCUCAGCCUGGUGCCAGCUCUGCUCUCCCAAGUCUCAGUCCUCAAGUUCUCAACCCUGAGCCAGGGGACCCCCAGGCUUCAGAUGUGCCUCUCCCCUCAGACUUGGAUUUCUCCUCCCACUGCCCUCUUUCAACCCAUCUGGCUCUUCCAGAAGUCUCCAUUUGGUGGGAAGAGCGGAAGCAGCGGUCCUCGGCUCUCUUAAGAAAUAGUCAAGAGCACUGAGUUUGGCUUCCCCUAGGGUCCUUUGUGGCUUGAGUCCCAGGAAGUUUGAAUACCUUUUCCUGAAGGUCAAGAGAGGAGGCAGGUAUAUAUUAAUCAUGGUUUUUUAUUUUCUCUACUUUGUGUCUGUAUGUGUUUGGGUAUCAAAACCAGGGCCUCCUGCAUGCUCUUCAAGCUCUCUACUGCUGAGCUACAUCCUCAGUCCUUUUGAUUUUGAGAAAGGGUCUUGUCUAUUUGCCAAGGCUGGUCUUGAACUUGCGAUCCUCCUGCUUUUAGUCUCUCAAAUAUCUGGGAUUAUAGCUAUGUCCCACCAUGCCCAGCACAAAUCGGAGACUUUUAAACUUUAUCUGUUUCCUUAGUUAUGCCUGGUAUUCCACUGGCUAAUCUGAUUUUGUGCCAGUGCCAUAAUGAUCAUUGUAGCUUCACAAAAUGUCCACUUUGGGGGAGGCACAGUGGACUCUUUUAUCCCCACCCCCAAUUUUUUCUUGGUCUAGAUACAUUGUAACUUUAAAUAAUUUUAUUUAUUGGAGGAACAAAAACAUGGGAAUUUUAUUUUUGCUGGUGAACUAUAGAAAUGGAAAUACUGUUUUCUUUAGAAAUACUGAAUGUCUUUUUUUCAGUUCUUCAAAACUGGAGGGCCACGACCAUGCUUCUGGUGGAGAGUCAGCUUACAGAAGCUAAUUAAGGUUAUAGAAAACGCUUGGUCUCCGGCACUCAGGAGAACAAAAUGCAUUAGCAACUGAAGUACAAAUAACAUAUUUCAAGUGAAACUGAUUAAGAGGGUCGAGCUGGAUCUUGUCAAUAGGUCUCUUUUUCAAUCUCGUCAGCUCAUAUCAGGCAGAGUGGGUCCAUCAAGAUGUGGAUGAGUCUUGACUCAAGACCAUCAGCUCCCAGCAUCACCCAGGAAGAGAUUUCUGCUUUCAUGGUACAAAGGGUCCUCGAGGUGGCCACCUGAUGGUUUGCUGUGGGAAAUACAAUUGCAUGGUUCUCAUGUCAGCAUCACCCUUAUGAUAAGACCCUGAAGAGAGCUACAUUGCUUUUGUGCCUAGUGACUUUACUAAAUUCACAUAUUAGUGUCACUGGCUAGGGGUCUCAGGGGUCUCUCUUUAGAGCAGAGGAAACCUUCAUUUGAACUCUCCAGGCUCUUGACCAUGGUCACAGAAAGGAAUUUCAGGACACUUCAAGUUUUAGUAGCAGAGGAAGAGGUUGUUUGAAAGCAAAAGAUACACACCCUAGGAGCUGAGCUGCCUCUUAGGUGGGAUGUGGUUUAUAAUGUUUAAGAGAGUGAAUAUUCAGAAGCAGGGGUUCAGUAUGGAGAAACUUUUCUGGGAGACUCUUCAUGGAAUCUUACCCAACUUCAUUAGCAUCAAAUCAUGCAGCUAAAGGGUGGGUGACAACACAUGGUAAUCAGUCGAAAUGAGUAGAAAGGUCAAGUUUGGUCAGGAGAUUCUUCUGGUGUGCCCGUGUAUGAAACCAGUGGGAGCUGGCUUGGAGAGCAAGGCCAUCUUGUCAUAAAGAUUGAUCUUUAUGACCAAUCGGGUUUUGCCCGAUCGGUUAGUGGCAGGAUGCCAGGGACUGAGGCAGAUCCCAGGCUGUCUGCAGGAGUCCUUCCUCCAUACCUAUUUCCCCCGCUACCCUAUCUCAUUAUAUUUAAUGCUUUAUCUGUAGAUUCUUUAGAAAUUUUAGGAAUACAAUUAUGCCAUGAGUAAUGAUGAUGUUUAUCCUUUUCAACCUUUAUUUAUUUAUGUACUUACUUACUUUUUUGUGUGUAUUUUGGUAGUGGUUAGAACCUCCAUUACAAUGUGGAAUAGAAGUGAUAGCAGAUAUCUGUCUCAUUCUUCAUUAAGAAUGUAUUUUGCUGCUGACUUUCUAUAGAUCUUUCAUCAGAUUUAAAGAAAUUUCUUUCUAUUCCUAGUUUUCUGAGGUUUUUAAAUGAAGAGAUAUUAACUUUUUAUUAAAUUUUUCCCUGAGCAAUGAAGAUGAUCAUUAUUAUUCUCCUCCUUUAUGCAAUUAAUGUGAAUUAUACUGAUUGCCUGUCUGAUGCUAAAUCAAUCUUGCCAUUUCUACAUAAACCCACAGGGUCAUGAUUUAUUAGCAUUUUUUAUUAUUGACAGAUUUUGUUUCUUCAUUCUUAAGUGAGAGUGACUUGUAAAUUUCUUUCUUAUGAUAUUCUUGUCAGAUUGUGCUAAGAUCGUAACACAAAUCGCAGUCUCUCCUUCUUUAUCCUUUCUCAAGAUUUACUUAUAUUGAUAUUAUUUCUUUCUUUUUUGUGGUGCUGUGGAUUGAACCGAGGGCCUUGUGCAUGUAAGGCAAGCACUCUACCAGCUGAGCUAUAUCCCCAGCCCAGAUAUUAUUUCUUUCUUAAAAGGCUAUGUUACCAAUGAAGCCACAA
rnacentral:lncRNA from 1 species